UCUAAUAAGAAAAUUGCUCAAAUUUGCUUCUAGUUAACAUAAUUUCCAUAGUCUAAAAUAAACUGCAAGUAAUAAGUCAUUAGCCAAAAAACAAAGCAAGAAAAGCACAGUAAAACGAUGCAUAACAUAACCACAUUUAAGAAUGUAUUCCAGUAUCAGAUGACAAAUUUCAACAAUGCAACGACUGCAAUUCCUUUUGCACCAACCUAAUACUAACCUCCAGCUCCUGCCCCAAUCCAGAACUCAAAACAAAUAUGACAUAUGUCAUCGCACGUGUUGGACUUCCAUCAUCCCUGGUACUAACAAAACCGACAUGCCGUGCAGAGCUCUUUCACCCCCACGCAGAGAUGUCAGACAGCCAUGACCAUUUAACUGUGGACACUUACAUCAAACUUUUGUCGAACUGAAGAAAUCUUUUUCUUUCCUUUGGGUUUUCCAGGUUUAGUUGCAGAGCCACCUGGCCAUGGCAGAGACCCAGCACCUUCUACAAAUUGAAAAGAAAAAAACCACACUUGAUAAGUGUUGCUUUUUUAGGGCCAGGAUGAGGCCAUCCACACAGGAAAACCCUUAACCUUUGGCCCCCAGCUCUCAGGAGAGAAGUGCAACAACAGGAGCAAGCUGAGCCCAUCUCACAGUCAGCAGCCCUUCAAGCAAAGUCCUUGGGCAACCCUGAUAUAAUAAAAUUCUCCUGCUAUCCCAGCAAGAGUUCGAAUUUGCUGACCCAUCUCUUAGUUGGCUCCAGACUACUAGUAAUUAAAUUAAAUCCUUAUAUCACUAACUCAA